UACGAGGGGGGCGAGCGUUGUUCGGAUUUACUGGGCGUAAAGGGCGCGUAGGCGGCCUUGUCAGUCAGGCGUGAAAGCCCCGGGCUCAACCUGGGAACGGCGCUUGGGACGGCGAGGCUGGAGUUCGGGAGAGGAGAGUGGAAUUCCCAGUGUAGAGGUGAAAUUCGUAGAUAUUGGGAAGAACACCGGUGGCGAAGGCGGCCUGCUGGGCAGUGGCUGACACUGAGGCGCGACAGCGUGGGGAGCAAACAGG
rnacentral:rRNA from 1 species